rnacentral:lncRNA from 1 species
UAAGAAGAUGCAUAUUGGGCCUGGCUUUUCGUCCUUGGAGCUUCCAUUUCUUCAAGAUGCCUUUUCAUGGAUUCCAGCACUUUUGCUGCUGCAAUGAAUACUGAACUAGAUCAGAUUCGUAGCUCUUACAAAGUACUCCCUCCGUUUCUUUUUAGUCCGCAUAUAAGGUUUGGUCAAAGUCAAGUUUUGUAGAGUUUGACUAACUUUAUAUUAAAAAAUAUAAACAUUCACAAUAUGAAAUCAAUACUAUCAGAUGCACCAUGAAACGUAUGUUCAUACUAUAUAGUUUCAGUAUUGUAGAUGUUCAUAUUUUUUUAUAUAAAUUUGGUCAAACUUUGUGAUCUUAUAUGCGGAGUAAAAAGAAACGGAGGGAGUACAGUAGUAUAGUACUACUAGUCUAUUAGAUGGAUGAUUUGAGUAUGUGCCUGCAACCGCCUGCGUCAUUUGAUUUUAUCAGCCACCUCUGUGGUUUUCUGUUUAUGUGCCACUUGGCCACUAGGAGUAUUCUACUAGCCCUAUCCAUUAAGUCAUAUCAGUUUCGUUCCCAGUAACUUAACACAAGUUUUACAUACUAGCGCGCAAAGGCUGCCGCGCCCAUCAAAGCCUGUUUGUGUGCGUCUGUUUUGCUUUUGUAAUGAGGGAAACGAGAACAAUGCGCUUUGAAAGCGAGCUGAUGGCGUGAAAGUAUCUGUAUAUUUAGCACGUUCAUGCAGGUCCUUGUACUUUCUUAUUUGUAGAAGCUAUAGGGAGGUCAUAGCAACAUGCAAGGAAGUUUCUUUCCACGUGAAAGAGAGUGGAGGAGUUGUGACAACAUCGCUUACUAUGCCAAGGAUCCGGACAAACUACCACCAACACCAACGGGGAGGAGUUGGGACAGAAAGAUGGUUGGUUGUGCCAUUGAAAGUCUGGUAGUGUGCGAAGUGAAAUAGUGUUAGAGGUGUGUGUGUUUUAGAUCUUGGCCACUGGUAUAUCUAUAUUUAUAGAUAGAUUUGUCAUUUCCGGUCAAUCACCAGUUUGAUAAUUGUUCUUGGCCACUGAUAUCUGUUUAUGCACAUAACAAGACCAUGUACAUUCGUACAUGCAAGGGAAGAGUUUCGUUAGCAAGAGAUCUUGGAGAAACUUUACU